CCCAAUACCCAUCACUCUCUCUCCCAUCCUUCUGGGAUUGUGAGGCCAUUCACAAUGGACUACAAUUCUACCCAACAAUGAGUCAAAGUUCUAUACAUUACCUGAGCCCCUUUCUAGAUAAGGUUUUCAUGUUUCCUUAGUUCUUAUAGACAUACUGUGGACAAAAGGUGAUUUAUGCUCGUACAAAAGCCCAGGAAAAGGUAAGAGUAGGACAUAGAGAUUGUAUUUUUGUUGUUGUUUUGGAGACGAUGGCUGUCCUGUAACUAACUCACUGUGUAGACCAGGUUGGCUUUGAACUUAUAGAGCUCCACUUGCCUCCAAUUCUCUACCUGUACUGAAAGAUUUACAAGGGAAUUUUUCCUUAAGAAUUUAUGAAGUGAACAUAAUUGCUUUAAGUGGCCAAAAAAAGCAUUUUUGGGGACAUCAAGUUAGGGGUCCUGGCUAUGCUUUACAAAUGAGUGAUUAUAAUUGCUCUUGAGAGUUUGGUUUUCCUGUGCUCAUUUAAUGAUCAAAGAGGCCUAGGCUCAGAAGUGUGUGAUUUUCCCAGGCUCAAGUUGAGCUAAGGUCAGAAGUCAAACUGCCAUUCUUCUCCAUCAUGCUGACUUCUUAGAUGGUGUGGUGAGUGAAGAACCAGGAAAGGGAAAUCAAGGGCAUAGCAUGAACUAUGUCAGAGGCGUUGGCAUGGAUUAUACAGCCAGAAUACUUCAAAAUAUUAACAACUAAAAGAAAAAUCAAUGGAGACAAAUUUGAGAAGUGAUGAGAGACACACUAAGAGAAUUUCAAGGUGCAUCCGAGCCCAACCUAAAAGCAGUUCAGCCAAGGACCACGGGCAGUACACACUCCCACAUUAACACAGCGUUGAGGCCAAGACUAUAGACAAGUGGAGAUGUGGACAAACACAAGCGGAAGUUAUGAAUCCAAUCCUGCUAAGGAGGAACUGGAAACGGCAGUGCAAUUAAAUAGUAUAAAUUUUACGAAUGUGUAAGACAGCAAACUUCCAAAGGUAUGGUUUGGUGUUGGGGGCAGGAGAAGCAAAAGAAAGGGAAAGGAAAAGACUAAGGGAGGAGGGAAGAGAAAGGGAGGGCAGAGAUGAAGGGAAGAGACUUCUAAUGCCUCCACAAAACAGGCACAUAAUUAUUCUGAUGUCUGUGACAACAUUGAUUUUAUGCUAAUAAGGGAGGCUGCAAACACAAAAUACCUUGGUAACAUCCUAAGUAAAUUAGAGGUGAGUUAGCAUGCUAUCAGCCAGGGCUUCUCUUGUGAAAGGGACUAUGUAAAUUGAAAGGCUGAGCUCAACUUGAUGCUUCCAGGUUGCUGCAAACAGCCUUUCUUGUCUGCUUUUCUCUGGUUCAUUACCAACAUAGAGCCUGAGAGAUGGUGUCACAGUGCCCAGGCAAUAAGUGGUGAGCUGUGGGGGCACAUCUGCUAUUCCUUGUAUUAUUGGCAGCAAAUAAUGUUAAGCAGGAUUUGUACCAUGUCUGAAAAUGCCCCCCUACCUCAAACAAUCUCUGCCUACUUGGUAACUGUUGUGCGGAGCCCAGAGCCAGGGCCAGGGCCCUCUCAGACCCAAUUCUAUGUAACUAUAUGAGGGACAAUUGGGUAGUAAUUGAGGUUAAUUGUCACUGACAAUAAUGCACCAUACGAUCUUUUUACAUCUGUUUGGUGAGAUGGUUCGAGCAUGGAGAGAUGUUCCCAGGGGCACCACAGGGAUGUGCCCUAACUGUUUAUAUGCUCCUUACAUUGAUGGGUUAUGCACAAGCUAAUGGGGCUAAUUGUUAUUGCUCUAGUGGAAGCCCCUGAAGUAUAUCCCCACCUCCUGCCUAAAUGUCAAAGCCAUUGUCUUCCCCUGCUUUGGUUAUCCACACUUCUCGGUUCACGUUAAAAAAGAACAAAAGCUAACAAGUUCACGCAAGUGGAAGAGGUAGAGGUUGGCAGCCUUGACUGCUGCCACUCUCUGUUCAAGAAGCAUUCUGUUUUUCAAACCAUAGACUAAAAUGACUUCAGAAAAAAUAAUCUGCCACAUUCAGGCUUUGCAGUCUAGCUUCAGAGCCUUUUGCAAGCUGCAAUUCAUUAAAUGCAAUAAUCGUUUGAGGCCAGUGGACCGACCUCUGCAAGGGAGAGAGGCCAAGCCCUCUCACCCCACCCUCUUUCUCUUUGUGUUCCCAACCAGACAGAGGAGGAGAGAGGGUGGAACACUGAUGCUCCUGUGGUACAGCCAUGGCCCUCAGCCCAGACCCACUUCUCCGGCUUCUCCCUGCCAGGGCUCCAUGCUCCACUGAACUAUUGGGAAUAGGCUCUUCCUUCCUGGGGCCACGAUUGUCUGCUUUUCACAGACAGACAGGCUGCUGCACUUUUAUUUCCUUCAGAUAAAUGGUUUCCUAGCCACAGGGCCCAACCAGACCUGACAUACAUCCCGUGGGACAGAUCUCUCCCUGCUUGGCCACUCCCAAGGCUGAGAUCCAAGAGGUGUGUUUGGGUCUUUGUCACGAUUGCCAAGUGUCCCGUAGUGUGAAAGUCCACUGUCCCAACAUAUACCCUAACUAUCUCAGCAAGGCCAGCUUCCCAUCCAACAUUUCCAUCCACCACUGCCAAAUGAGUUUUUCCCUAGAGGGAGAUCCUUGGUUUGGUUAAUGGUGGUUGCAGGCCACUAAAGUGAGAGAUAUGUCUACUGAGGUCCCAUGGGUCUUCUAUAGUUUGGAGGCCAUAUAUCUUUGGCCUUCUCUUGCUUCACAUGGACCUUACCCAGACAUUUACUUAAAAGAAAGGGAAAAUGAGACACCCACAAGCCCCAACCAUGGUAUAUUAAAUUUCACAAGGCAAUGCCGAAUUAAUUUUUAUAGCUUUUUCUCUAGUUGCCUUUGCUCUCCUAAGUCUGCCUACUAGCCAUUUCUAAAGAAAGGUUGCAGUGACAUAAUAUCCCUUCAAAGCAUCCAUAAUUCUUCUGUAAGAGGGCCAGUUUGGUCUACCUUCAAAACCACAUCAUUUUUAAUGGUACUGAGAACUCUCAGGAGUUUUAUCCACAGAGUAACCUCAAAGGCAAAAGUGUACAUCAGAAUUAUCCAAGACCAGAAUUCACGUGGGUGGAGCCCACCUAAAUACCUUCUCUCAAGUUCUCCCCACGAUAUCUGCUCUCCCAGUGCUCCCGUACCUUCCAGGGAUCGAGACUCUCUCUGCCUUACUUCAAGACCCAGCACACCACCCAGCUUUCUGGAGUCUCGGCCCAAAGGAUCCUUCCUCUCUCUCAAAUCUUAAAAUGUUCAGAGUUCAAAAGUUCACACUGGAAUGGCCAACCUCUUCAUUUACAGAGUACAAAUCAAGUCGCGUGUUUAAGCAAGAUUUAGGUUGUAGAAGUCCUAGAAGUGGUUUACCUUUCUUGCUUGCCACCGUACAUAAAUGAUUGCCAUUAUCAGGAAGGCCUGUAAAUCACCAAAUGGCAUCAUCUAUUGGAGGGUUUGUCUCACUGCAGAAACAGCUGAGACGGCGGGGCCACAGUGUUCAUAAAAUCCAUUCCAAUCUCUAUGCAGCAAGAGCCCUGCUUCUAACUCAGGAUACACAAUGCUUCCUUCCCUCUGAGGAUCUCCAGGGUGGCUCAGAGAAUGAGUUGUUCUGUGUUGGCAUUCUGUCUAAGCUCCACCUCCACAGUUACCUGGCAACAGCCAGUUAUACUCCGCCCCACAGUUACCUGGCAACAGCCAAGUAUGCUUGUCACUAUAAAAGGGCUGCUUGCCUCCUCCUCACUCUCUUGCUCUCUUGCUCUUGCCUUCUCCCCCUCUUCGCCUUUAUCCCUUCUCUUCCCAUCCCUCUCCCCCAUCCCUCACCUGCUCAUGGACAGCCUUUACUCCUCUCCUCUUCUACUCUUCUCUCAUUAAACCUUUCCACGUGGAACCAUGUUGGCCUGAUGUGGGUAUCCGGACACAAGCCAAGAUUUCUACCUCAACAUUAGUGACCCAUACCCGCUGCCUGCCAUGCAUACCGCCUGAAUUUGAUCACCGUCAGCCCACCGCUGCAUCUGCCAAGUCCGCGGCACCAUUUGAAACCACCACCUGCUGGCUGCUGUGGGACCCAGGACUUUCCACCACGUGAGUUGCCGCUGCAGCUGGAGCACAUGCAGACUUCUGUGUGAGCCGCUGCCCUCCAUAUUCACCACGUGGUGCCAGCUCUUGCCAUAUGGGUCACUUAGACAAGCCCUCACCAACCACACAGUUUCACUUUUCCUGCUACCAGACCGCUAAAACUCCCGCACAAACACUGGCAGAUUGGUAGGUUUAUUCCUCCAGUUGGCAAGGAGGUCCCUGAUUUCCCCAGAUAGGGCCUGGCCAGCCUUUAUGGGAUAAAGGGACCUCUUAGCUGGCAUAUGAGAUAGGACCUUGAUCCUUGGGCAGAGAAUUCCUUGAAAGCCAUUCCUCACUCCCCUCCCUCUCUGGGCUCUCUGGUCUGAGUUGGGACACUUUCUAUUGGGUCCAGGACCCACCAUGAAUGGCCUCCAGAAGUCUAACAACUCAGACACCUGGCCUGGCAGAGUUCUGUUACUGAAUUAAUCCUCUGGGACACCAGUCUGGAUAACUCAAGAACUUCCCCUAAUGGGUAAUUUGAUGUCUUCGAAUGUACCUCCAGAUUCCCCAUUGGGAUGUCUUUUGGAGAAUUUCAAAACUUUAAAUCUAAUGCCUCAUCUGAGGACAUCAAACUGAUAGACCUUUGCAAUAAUGUCUGGAUUCAGUAUUCAUUAGACAAUGGUUCAAAAUGGCCACAUAAUGGCUAGAUUCCUCAAUUUUAUGGGGUUCCCAUACUUUCUGCCAGCACUCUGGUAAAUUGAAAAAAGUCCUUUAUGUUCAAGCAUUUAUCUACCUUCUCUCUAACCCCUCUCUGUGUUUCACUUCCCAUGGCAUCCUGCUGAGGUAACCUGUGGCCCAGGUACUGGCUGGCAAGUUCAGCAGGCCUUUCCAUCACUGAAUUCCCUGCGUGCAGCCGCCUGCCAAGGACAGCAUCCUCUUCAAGCACAUGCUGGAACGCCAGCGAGUUUGGGAGCAGGCGAGAACACAUGCAGACGGGAUCCAUCAAACAGACGGAACAUAUCCAAUUGGACCUGAGGCAGUACCUGACCAAGAUCCCUGAUGGAAUUGAAAUUUCACAGCCACCCUGACAUAAAAGACAGACUUAAAAAGCUGGAGAGGAGGCCCCUAACUCCACAGACAGAAGUUUUGGCUCUGGCCUUUAAAGUGUAGCAUGGGAGAGAUGAGAAGGCUCUCAGACUAAAGUACCAUCUGAUGUCAAAGGCUGUCCAACCAGCCUCAGCCACUGCCCAGAACUCCUGGUCUUCUAAAGGCUAAGAAUCACCAGGCUCCUGCUACAAAUGUGAUCAACAGAUAACCCUCCAGUGGAUCUCCUAGACCUGGCCAUGGAUGACUAGAGGGGUCUGAGUUCCCUGAACCCAACCACUGCCAUCACCAGCAGGCAACCCUGGGUAAUCAUCAUGGUAUGUGGGCAGCCCAUCUCCCUCCUCUUGGACACUGGGGCCACUUACUCAGUCCUAAUGGAGUUUUGGUGAUCCACUUCUCUCUCCCAUUUCCCUAUUGUCAGAGUAGGGGGCAACCUUACCUUCCUCACCAAACCCCACCACUUAGUUGCAUUUUUAAGGGUGUACCUUUCACCCAUUCCUUUUUGGUAGUGACCACAUGCCCAGUCCCCUUAUUGGGAAGGCAUCUUCUAGCUAAUUUGGGAGCCUCUAUUUGGCUCUAUCCAUUUGCCUAAACCCACGCUCGCCUGCAGUCCCUCUGCUCCUAGCCAGCCAAACUAACACAGACCCCCCACGUCUGUUGCUAAGCAGUCUUUCCAAAUAGGACCUGGAAACUGCUUUUGCAAACUGUUUUGGGACCUCCGGGACACGAUCUGUAUGAACGCUAGGUUCCCUAGACUGCAAUAGAACCAUAACCCUUGAUACUCCAUCUCUGCUCUAUGGCCCUCAGGUAUACGCUGGUACUCCUUUUCCCUGAACUAGAAGUAGACAUUGACCCUUGGGCAAGUAUUCCCUCAAAAGUGACUCUCAAUCCCCUCCCCCUUCUGGGCUCUUGCAGCUGUAGAAACUCCCAGGCCUGGGUAGAGAAGCUUUCUGGUGAGUCUCGGACUCAUCGUAUGGCCUCUAGAGGGUCUUAGUGAUGACUUAGACAUCUAGCCUGGCAGAAAUUUUGGGUGUCGAGAUUUUUCUUGGAUGCUGGUACAAAUAAUUCAAUACCUCUCCCCAUGGGUAAAACUCAUUGUUUUCUAACUCACCUCUCUUAGCUAUGAGGUACACACACCAGAUGACCAUACAACCCUCAGAUCUAGCUAAUGAACUUUCUCAGAUAGAAAGCGGACUGGGUUCUUAUACCUCUAACUCCGCCAUUUUUAAAGAGUUUCAAUAUAUUACAUAAUCUUAGUGCUUUGACUUUCCAUGAUUGGCUAAAUGCUUCCUAUUUCCUCUUCUUGCUAAACAACACUAUAUGAUCCAACUGUAAUCACAAAUUCUUGUUCCUUCUGCUCCACAAAAAGCUUAUCUUAAAGAAUGUUCAUGUUAACUCAUGCUGCUAUCUCUUUUGUAAACUUAUAAGCUACAGGAAACCCGCUCAGACCUACCUCUCAUGGACCAAAUAGACUCCACCCAGAUAAGUGCAUCUGCCUAAAGUUCCCACUUACCACCUAUUCCAAAGUGUGGGAUUCCUCUGGGUUUCAAAUGUACAUCUAAGAAAAACAUUUAAUUUCUCCCAAAUACACUUAAUCUUAUUCUCUACCUAUAAUAAAUUUAUAUGUGUGUUUUAGAUACUUCUUUUGGACCUGUUCCUCUGACGUAUCCUAAGAUGGUUCCACAGACGCUGGACAACAAGGAAGCAGUCAACUCUUUUUUUUUUUUUUUCGGAGCUGGGGACCGAACCCAGGGCCUUGCACUUGCUAGACAAGCGCUCUACCACUGAGCUAAAUCCCCAACCCCGCAGUCAACUCUUAAGACUGGACAAACAUCCCAUACCCACUUUUCUAGGUUCCCUAGAGAUAUGUCGCCCCAAAGCAAGUAGGAAGUAGUCAGAGAUCACAACCACCCUAUUCUUCCUCCACAAUUGCCUUUCUAAUUUUUCUUUUUAAUUAAACCAAAAAGAGGGAAUGUUGGCAUUCUGUCUAAGCUCCACCCCCACAAUUAUCUGGUGACAGCCUAGUAUGCCUGGCACUAUAAAAGGGGCUGCUUGCCCCCUCCUCACUUUCUUGCUCUCUUGUUCUUGUCCUCUUCCCCUUUGUCCCUUCUCUCCCCAUUCCCCUUCUCUCCCCAUUCCCCUUCUCCCUUCCCUCUACAUGCUCAUGUUUGGUCUUUACUCCUCUCCUUUUUCUCUCAUUAAACCUUUGCAUGUGGAACCAUAUUGGCCUGAUGUGGUUUGUCUGGAUGUGAGCCGAGAUUUCUACCCCAACACUCACUGCCCAACUUCUUUAUUCUUCACUACUCUACUGGGGUUGAUAGGGAGUGGUGGGGCAGCUAGAGGGAGAACACUUACUUAGAAUGGACAAGGUCCUGGGUUCAAUCCUCAGGACACACACACGUACACACAGACAUGUCUACUCAGAUUGCCAGAAGAGCCUCCAUAAUAUAUAUCCAUAUUCAUCAUCACCAUCAUCACCACAAUGUAGGAACACUUGUUGGCAACACCUGAUGCUUAACUUCAAAGCUAAGGUAAGAUUUGACUAUAAAGAAGAAGUACAAAUGACUCAGAAUAUAUUUGUCCCAUUAAUACAUUCAAAUUUAAAUAAUUUCAAACUGUUUAUUAUGUACAUAUAGUGUAUUUUAAUCAAACCCACUUCUAUUCCCUCUUCUCUACUACUUGCCCUAUACCCCACCACUACUUUUCCCUCCUAACUUAAUGUGUUUCUCUCUUCUCACUCAGUCCUUGCUGCCUGACCCAGAGUCUAAUUAGUGCUACCUAUAAAUGCAUGGAUGUAGGACCAUCUCCUUGGCAUGAACAGUCAUUCAAGGUCUGCCUCCUUGAAGAAAACUUAAUAUCGCUUCCCCAGCAGGCAUCAAUGGCUAAUAGCUUCUCAGCUGGUUUGGGGCUUCAUGUGUCCCUCCCCAGUGCAUGCUGAGAUCUUAGCUGGUUUGAUCUUGUGCAGGUCUUGUGCAUUGUAAUCAGAGCCAUGGUGGGUUCAUGUAUGCACCAGCCUUGUCAUGUCCAGAAAAUAGCAUUUUAAUCCAAAUUACAAUAGGACCAGUUCUAAGAGUGCAGAGGCCCCUCCUAAUCGAUUGAGAGAAAGUUGCUGAUAUGGUAAACAUGGAAACUCAACAAACUCCACAUUGAUUAACUACUAAUGUCUAAUGCAGACAGUUAGUCAGGUUUGGUCAAUUGUCCCAAUGGUGAUUUUAAAAGCAAACAGAAGCAAUGAAGGGUCACAUCUUAGAAUGAACUGACAUAGUUGCGUUUCCACCCAUCUGGCACAAUUCCUCACUCCUUGAUCUCUGUGACUUUCAACCUUAAGAUUAUAGCUCAGCUAUUUUUAUGAAAAUACUCUUCAAUUUAGAUUCAUUUGGCAUCUCCUCAUGAUUAAAUCAGAUUGUGCAUAUACACGGAAAUGACAGAUGUGAUGUCUUUCAUCUUAGCCAAUAAGGCUCAUCCAUUUGUUUCGUAUUGAUGAUACUGCUUUUAGAUAUAUAAUAAUCUCAGAACCACAUCAAAAUGAACAAAGGGAAAAAUGCACAAAGCAGAAAAUAUCAAGCAUAUACAAGAGUAUAUAAAGAACAAGAAUACGGGAAAACUCAAAUCUAUUCAUGACACAUUGUAAGAAAAACAGGGAAUACAGAGAAAAAUUUGAAAACUAUGAUUGAUAGGGACACACACACAUGCUCACACACACCCUAUGGAUCCUACUCAUAGGUAACCAGCAUGCUUUAAGUAGCAUAAAAACAGUAAUAUACAUUUCAGUUAACAAAAUAUUCAGCAGCAAUAAACCCCCAAAAGAUGUCAUUUUAAUAAUACAGGCCUAAAAAUUAAAUUGCUAAGGGGACUAUUCAGUGACACUUUUAAAAUAACUCUUAGAGGAAAAUAAAACCUCAAAACUGUGAGUAAAGAACAGUUAAGAGGGGCUGGAGAGAUGACUCAUUGGUUAAGUGCACUGACUGCUUUUCCAAAGGUUCUGAGUUCAAUUCCCAGCAACCACGUGGUGGCUCACAGCCAUCUGUAAUGGGAUCCAGUGCCCUCUUCUGGUGUGUCUGAAGUCAGCUAAGUAUAUUCAUAUAAAUAAAAAAUUAAAUCUUUUUAAAAAAAGAAAAAGAACAGUUAAGAGAGUUGGGUGCACUGGCCCAUCAUCACAGCCAUUGGGAGGAGAAGGUAGGAAUAUCAGUAGUUCUAGGCUAGCCUCACCUACAGAAUA